rnacentral:misc_RNA from 1 species
GCCGAGGAUGAUGUAGAUGACGAGAAUGACGAUCAGCACGCCGAGCGCCGGCAGGUUGAAGGCGUUGAUCGCGUUGAGCAGCACCGUCGGCAGCGUCGAUGU